AGAGUUUGAUCCUGGCUCAGAAUCAACGCUGGCGGCGCGCUUAACACAUGCAAGUCGAGCGAGAAAGGGGCAACCUGAGUAAAGCGGCGUACGGGUGAGUAACACGUGGAUCAUCUACCUUUUAGUGGGGAAUAACCCUGGGAAACCGGGGCUAAUACCGCAUAAGCCUGAGAGGGGAAAGCAGCAAUGCGCUGAAAGAA
rnacentral:rRNA from 1 species